rnacentral:rRNA from 1 species
AUGUAGUGGUUAUAGAUGGGCUCACGGCCUAUCAGCUUGUUGGUGAGGUAACGGCUCACCAAGGCGACGACGGGUAGCCGGCCUGAGAGGGUGACCGGCCACACUGGGACUGAGACACGGCCCAGACUCCUACGGGAGGCAGCAGUGGGGAAUAUUGCACAAUGGGCGCAAGCCUGAUGCAGCGACGCCGCGUGAGGGAUGACGGCCUUCGGGUUGUAAACCUCUGUUAGCAGGGAAGAAGAGAAAUUGACGGUACCUGCAGAGAAAGCGCCGGCUAACUACGUGCCAGCAGCCGCGGUAAUACGUAGGGCGCGAGCGUUGUCCGGAAUUAUUGGGCGUAAAGAGCUUGUAGGCGGUUUGUCGCGUCUGCUGUGAAAGGCCGGAGCUUAACUCCGUGUAUUGCAGUGGGUACGGGCAGACUAGAGUGCAGUAGGGGAGACUGGAAUUCCUGGUGUAGCGGUGGAAUGCGCAGAUAUCAGGAGGAACACCGAUGGCGAAGGCAGGUCUCUGGGCUGUAACUGACGCUGAGAAGCGAAAGCAUGGGGAGCGAACAGGAUUAGAUACCCUGGUAGUCCAUGCCGUAAACGUUGGGCACUAGGUGUGGGGAACAUUCCACGUUUUCCGCGCCGUAGCUAACGCAUUAAGUGCCCCGCCUGGGGAGUACGGCCGCAAGGCUAAAACUCAAAGAAAUUGACGGGGGCCCGCACAAGCGGCGGAGCAUGCGGAUUAAUUCGAUGCAACGCGAAGAACCUUACCAAGGCUUGACAUAUACUGGACCGCAUCAGAGAUGGUGUUUCCCUUCGGGGCUGGUAUACAGGUG